rnacentral:lncRNA from 1 species
AAAUAAUAUGGUUACUAAUGAACAACUGGUUAUGUUGAUUAAUUUGAUACCUAUUUAUAAUUUUCAUAUUUAUGUAAAUUUUAUAUUAUCUGUUUAUGUACCAUAUGUGUAGUAAUAACUAUAUAUAAUAUCAAUUAAAUGAUUGACUAUUCCUUAAACUAUUCUAUUCAUUAAUUCACUGGGUAUCGACCCAAUGAAUUGAAUGGAAAUUACAGUUAUCCAACCAUUUCCUCACCCAUGAGCCCACAAACUCUUCCAAAACUUGCAGCUCUCCAUCUUCCCCAAACCGCCUGGUAACUGGAGCUGUUAUUUCCAGGAGAGAAUCACUGAUUCCUUUUGUUCGGGGUAGGAAAAGGCACAGCUGUAAAAAGGAUUUUCGGGUGGGAUUUUGCCGCAGCUGGAGAGGGAGGAGAUGAAGCCAUGAUUUGUAGCCAACGGAACAAGUGUUUAUGAUAAUUUAGGCAUGGGAGGAAAUCACUUGCAAGCUUCUUUCAACUUGCUUUGCCCACAUUGUGGAUUGUCCAUGUGUUGUUUGUGUGAGGAGUAGAAAUCCCCGCGUUCUUUUAUUAAGCAUAAAAUGAAAAGAAGUCCAGCAUUCACAGUCAAACAUGUUGAAACAGGAACUGACAAGAUGACAUGGUUUUUUCAAUAUCUUUUGAUGCUAGCCUUCGAUCCGGAGUUCCUCUGUGUCUGUUUAGGGCAGGCUCUCCUGGCUAAUCCAUCUCCGCCAUGUCCUGGAGGCAUUAGCCCCGAAGGAAAAGCCCCAGCUCGAGUCUAGGGAGCGGGGUAAGGAGGGCAUUUAGUUUCACUUUUGUGCGGUUGAAUCCGCACCUCUCGGCGGAAGAAUGUGAAUGAUAAUGGCCCCUCCGGGAAGCCGAAAAACUGGAGCCUCGGGAACACAAUAGGCAGGGGUGACCCCAGUGUUAUGGAAAUGACGGAGCAGCCAGCCCCGAGGCCGGAUUACCCAAGGGGCCUGGCUUCUCCCCUCUCUCUCCCACCGAGAGGGCACAAUGACUGGACAAUCCCAUUGUGUCGCCGGCAUUCCAACCCGCCCCCCGCCCGCCGCCCGCCCCAAAGGUGAAUGCCGGAGGUAAAGCGGCCUGCGCUGGGGCGGAGGAUUGACCAUUCAGAUCCUGGGAGAGAUCCCUUUACGAAAUCCGAAUUUGGUCCUUGUUCCUCCAUGGCGGGAAGAUUUUCCAUUUGCAUUUGGGAGUUGGGCUUCCGAGCAUUUGGGAAAUAAAAGCUGUU